rnacentral:rRNA from 1 species
UACGGGGGGAGCAAGCGUUGUUCGGAUUUACUGGGCGUAAAGGGCGCGUAGGCGGCCACCGCAAGUCGACUGUGAAAUCUCCGGGCUUAACUCGGAACGGUCAAGUGAUACUGUCGGACUAGAGUACAGAAGGGGCAACUGGAAUUCUCGGUGUAGCGGUGAAAUGCGUAGAUAUCGAGAGGAACACCUGCGGCGAAGGCGGGUUGCUGGGCUGAUACUGACGCUGAUGCGCGAAAGCCAGGGGAGCGAACGGG